rnacentral:rRNA from 1 species
CCGUAAUGGGAUGGUAUCCGUCACUGAAUACAUAGGUGAUGAGAAGGCAGACCCGGUGAACUGAAACAUCUAAGUAGCCGGAGGAAGAGAAAACAAUAGUGAUUCCGUCAGUAGUGGCGAGCGAACGCGGAAGAGCCUAAACCGUCGGGUUUACCCGGCGGGGUUGUGGGACGUCUCACUAGGAGUUACAAAAGACUCUUGUAGAUGAACAGUUUGGGAAAGCUGACCAGAGAACGGGACAGACGCGUAAACCAAACAAGCAGUCCCACCGAGACAGAUCCCGAGUAGAGCGGGAAACGAGAAAUCCCGGGAGAAUCGGGCAGGACCAUCUGAUAAGGAUAAAGACUACCUAGCGACCGAUAGUGAACCAGUACCGUGAGGGAAAGCUGAAAAGCACCCCGGGAGGCAAGCGAAAUAGUAACUGAAACCUGUCUCUU